GGGAAAACUGAAGUGAGGUUUCAAACUUGUGAAAAAGGCCAUUAGUUGGACCAAAGACAGACCGAGGACUCUGCACUGGAUCAUUAAUGAGAGAGUCAUGCACUUUACUGCGAUGAUGAAAAUGCAUCUCAACCCGACCAGCCUGAAACCCAAACUUGUGAUCGUUUUUUACUUCCGGCAGCUGCUGCUGCCUAAACAGUCCCGCACCUAAUUUCCUAACAGAAACCACAGUCCUACCAUUAUUCCGACUACAUUUCCGAUCAACCUCCACCGUCGAAGCUUCCUCCUUUACAGAACCAUUGUCAUGAAUAUCCUCAUUGAACUUCCACCGUAGAAGAGGAGUUUCCGGCCUACUCCUCCUCCCUUUAGGAGUAUUUCCUCCAAUGUCUCUCCGCAACUUCACUCCAGCGGCGAAGUUGUUCGUUUUCCUUCGAGGCGGUUUCGUUGAUUUUUGUAAGAGAUCUAGUCCGGGAAACGUAACCGCCGGUAGCUCAGCCUUGUCGCCGGUGAUCUUCAUUUUCGAUUCACAGAUUCAGCCAUUACUCAUCUCUCUCACCCUCUCAAAUUCAGAUGACUGCGCCGGCAAGA
rnacentral:misc_RNA from 1 species